rnacentral:lncRNA from 1 species
CUUCCACUGGCUGGUCAUUGGCUGUGGCUCCUUGCCCAGGGAAGUGUAGCCCCCAGGCCCUGCCAACUCUCCUCCUUUGUGGGUGAUACUGCUCCAGGAGGCCAACCGCAGUCCUCUGAAGACAGCUCACAAGCGGAAGCCAUAAGAAAGCACACAAAAGCUGGAGAGAGAUAGCCAGAGUGGAAGUCUCCUCAUGGCAUAUGAAGUGACUGGGUAAGGAUAUAACCUCUAAAAGCCUCCAAGAAAUUCCUGAUUCUGUGAAAGUACAAGUAGGAUGAGAAGUUAUUGAGAGAGGAGCUGUGUUAUUCAAAGUGAAUGUUCACGGGUCAGUGUCAGCAAAUGAUAUCUGUAACAUGUUGCUAAUGCAGGUAAAAUUAGGUUGGAGCAAGAAGAUUGUGAAAUCUCAUGUUCCACAAUGGUCCGCUGAGCAAGUCAAAAUAGAGUUCGAUCUCCAUGAUUCAAAAUCUCCCAAUGGUGACCACACUGUCUCCGCUGUGAAUCUGGAAUGUUUGGGGAAUCCCAUUCCAUCAGAUGGUCUUCCCUCAAGUGUGUGCUACUCCA